rnacentral:rRNA from 1 species
CGUGUAGGCGGUCAAGUAAGUGGAAUGUGAAAGCCCCCGGCUUACCCGGGGAUCUGCAUCCCAAACUGCUUGGCUUGAGUACGGGAGAGGAUGGAGGAAUUCCUGGUGUAGCGGUGAAAUGCGUAGAUAUCAGGAGGAACACCGGUGGCGAAGGCGUCUAUCUGGCCCGAUACUGACGCUGAGGCGCGAAAGCUAGGGGAGCGAACG